rnacentral:rRNA from 1 species
UUUUAUGGAGAGUUUGAUCCUGGCUCAGGAUGAACGCUGGCGGCGUGCCUAAUACAUGCAAGUCGAGCGAACGGACGAGAAGCUUGCUUCUCUGAUGUUAGCGGCGGACGGGUGAGUAACACGUGGAUAACCUACCUAUAAGACUGGGAUAACUUCGGGAAACCGGAGCUAAUACCGGAUAAUAUUUUGAACCGCAUGGUUCAAAAGUAAAAGACGGUCUUGCUGUCACUUAUAGAUGGAUCCGCGCUGCAUUAGCUAGUUGGUAAGGUAACGGCUUACCAAGGCAACGAUGCAUAGCCGACCUGAGAGGGUGAUCGGCCACACUGGAACUGAGACACGGUCCAGACU